CUAGCACAAACAAAAUGUGAGAUGUCAUUAAGAUGAAACUUAGAGCUUUUCUCAGUACAGCCAUUGCAGUCAUGUCAACAGUUCUCAAGACCAAGAGAUGACAUGCGGGAAGACCUCCGAUGUUACUUCUUCCUUGGGGUCAGAAGACCUGACCAACCCAACUGCUCUUAUAUUUAAAAACACACAAGGCCAGACGUUGGUGUUCAGUAAUGAAAGACACAGAGCUCCAAUUCAGAAGUGCCUUCUCAUAACUUAAUUUCUUUUGCACAUUAAAUAGUGCACCCCGUGAAGGAACCCCACCCCUCAUCUUAAUUUUGUUGCUCUUAUUGCACAUUAUAAGAAUGAGUAGAAUAAAAAUGACUAUUAGUUGAAAAAUG